rnacentral:lncRNA from 1 species
AUUAGUAAGUUAUCAUAAAAUAUUCGAUUGGUCGGGGAAUAUUCGUUUUAACAGGGAAUAUUCGUACGACGGCACAAUCAUUGGUGGAUCCCACAACGGAAGUAUUGUCGUAAUUAGAAAACGACAGAAUUAUCUUUUUAUAAAAAUAACGAUGAAAGUGUUACCGUUAAAACUGUUGAACUACCCGGUAGUAAAAGUACAAUAAUAC